rnacentral:rRNA from 2 species
AAAUUGAAGAGUUUGAUCAUGGCUCAGAUUGAACGCUGGCGGCAGGCCUAACACAUGCAAGUCGAACGGUAACAGGAAGAAGCUUGCUUCUUUGCUGACGAGUGGCGGACGGGUGAGUAAUGUCUGGG